CUAUACAUAGCCUCAUAGAGCCAUCUUUCUUCUUUACAAAUAAUAUCGGAGCACCCUAAAGCCAGAAACUCAGUCUUGUAAAUCCUUUAUCCGUUAGUUCUUGCAACUGUGCUUUUAACUCUUUCAGCUCGUUUGGUGUCAUCCUAUACGGAGCAAUAGAAACAGGAGCUGUCCAGGCACCAGUUCAAUACCAAACUCUA
rnacentral:lncRNA from 1 species